AGUGAACGCUGGCGGCGUGCCUAAUACAUGCAAGUCGAACGGCGUGGCGCACAGGUGAGUAUUGUCUAGCUAAUCUGCCCUGAACUAGGGGACAACCGUCGGAAACGGUUGCCUAUAACCUAUAGUCUAGGAUGAGGCGAUAUUGUAUCAGCUAGAUGGGGAUGUAAUGGCUCACCAAGGCUAUGACGCAUAACUGGUCUGAGAGGAAGAGCAGUCAAACUGGAAGUGAGACACGGUUCGGAAUCGUACGAGAGGCAGCAGUAGGGAAUAGUGCCCAAUGGGGGAAAACCUGAAGAAGCAACGCCGCGUGGAGGAUGACACUUUUCGGAGAGUAAACUCCUUUUGUUAGCGAAGCGGUACCGAACGAAUAAGCACCGGCUAACUCCGUGCCAGCAGCCGCGGUAAUAC
rnacentral:rRNA from 1 species